CUGAGUGAACCGGUGGUCAGAAAGAGCCGUACGCUUUGAUGGUUCAGUGAUCCGGAGAUCAUCUUGAGCCGUGUUCAUUUAAUGACUGAGUGCAUCGGAGGCCUGAGGGGGUCUCAUGCAUUAAUGAUAGGGUGUGCCGAAUGCCUGCAGAGAUCUUGUGCCUUAAUGACUUGGGGAUGGUGACAGAUUGAAGUGGAGUCAUAUAUUUAGUUGUCAGAUCCUUUGGAGGGUUAGGCGGAGAUUGGAUAU
rnacentral:lncRNA from 1 species